GCACUGUUAACUCAUCCUUACCCUGCUGUGUAGUGCAGGGGGAGGUUUUCCAGUGCAAAAGAAAUGCUAAGGAAAUCCAGACAGAGCAUGGUUCACCUUGUGUUCGGUCUCUACACCUUUGCCACACGC